rnacentral:rRNA from 1 species
UACGUAGGGGGCAAGCGUUGUCCGGAAUCAUUGGGCGUAAAGCGCGCGUAGGCGGCCCGGUAAGUCCGUUGUGAAAGUCAAAGGCUCAACCUUUGAAUGCCGAUGGAUACUGCCGGGCUAGAGUCCGGAAGAGGCGAGUGGAAUUCCUGGUGUAGCGGUGAAAUGCGCAGAUAUCAGGAGGAACACCGGUGGCGAAGGCGGGUCUCUGGGCCGGUACUGACGCUGAGACGCGAAAGCGUGGGGAGCGAACAGG